AAAAAAGGUAAGCUACUAAGAGCGAAUGGUGGAUGCCUUGACUGGUAAAGGCGAUGAAGGACGUACUAGACUGCGAUAAGCUACGGGGAGCUGUCAAGAAGCUUUGAUCCGUAGAUUUCCGAAUGGGGCAACCCAAUGUAUAGAGAUAUACAUUACCUAUAUAGGAGCAAACGAGGGGAAUUGAAACAUCUUAGUACCCUCAGGAAAAGAAAUCAAUAGAGAUUGCGUCAGUAGCGGCGAGCGAAAGCGCAAGAGGGCAAACCCAGUGCUUGCACUGGGGGUUGUAGGACUGCAAUGUGCAAGAGGUGAGUUUAGCAGAACAUUCUGGAAAGUAUAGCCAUAGAGGGUGAUAGUCCCGUAUGCGAAAAACAAACCUUAGCUAGCAGUAUCCUGAGUAGGGCGGGACACGAGAAAUCCUGUCUGAAGCUGGGUCGACCACGAUCCAACCCUAAAUACUAAUACCAGAUCGAUAGUGCACAAGUACCGUGAGGGAAAGGUGAAAAGAACUGAGGUGAUCAGAGUGAAAUAGAACCUGAAACCAUUUGCUUACAAUCAUUCAGAGCCCUAUGUAGCAAUACAGGGUGAUGGACUGCCUUUUGCAUAAUGAGCCUGCGAGUUGUGGUGUCUGGCAAGGUUAAGCAAACGCGAAGCCGUAGCGAAAGCGAGUCUGAAUAGGGCGCUUAGUCAGAUGCUGCAGACCCGAAACGAAGUGAUCUAUCCAUGAGCAAGUUGAAGCUAGUGUAAGAACUAGUGGAGGACUGAACCCAUAGGCGUUGAAAAGCCCCGGGAUGACUUGUGGAUAGGGGUGAAAGGCCAAUCAAACUUCGUGAUAGCUGGUUCUCUCCGAAAUAUAUUUAGGUAUAGCGUUGUGUCGUAAUAUAAGGGGGUAGAGCACUGAAUGGGCUAGGGCAUACACCAAUGUACCAAACCCUAUCAAACUCCGAAUACCUUAUAUGUAAUCACAGCAGUCAGGCGGCGAGUGAUAAAAUCCGUCGUCAAGAGGGAAACAACCCAGACUACCAGCUAAGGUCCCUAAAUCUUACUUAAGUGGAAAACGAUGUGAAGUUACUUAAACAACCAGGAGGUUGGCUUAGAAGCAGCCAUCCUUUAAAGAAAGCGUAAUAGCUCACUGGUCUAGUGAUUUUGCGCGGAAAAUAUAACGGGGCUAAAGUAAGUACCGAAGCUGUAGACUUGCGCACAACUUAGAUUAUUUAAGUUUAGAAUAUGAGAAACUAAGUUAUAUGUUUAGUUAUAUUUUUACUGAUUUUUAUAGAGUAAAGAUAGAAAUAAAACUUAGUAAAAUCAGUAAAAAUAUUCUUAGACUAAAGUUAAGUAGUUUAAGUUGUGUGCAAGUGGUAGGAGAGCGUUCUAUUUGCGUCGAAGGUAUACCGGUAAGGAGUGCUGGAGCGAAUAGAAGUGAGCAUGCAGGCAUGAGUAGCGAUAAUUAAUGUGAGAAUCAUUAACGCCGUAAACCCAAGGUUUCCUACGCGAUGCUCGUCAUCGUAGGGUUAGUCGGGUCCUAAGUCGAGUCCGAAAGGGGUAGACGAUGGCAAAUUGGUUAAUAUUCCAAUACCAACAUUAGUGUGCGAUGGAAGGACGCUUAGGGCUAAGGGGGCUAGCGGAUGGAAGUGCUAGUCUAAGGUCGUAGGAGGUUAUACAGGCAAAUCCGUAUAACAAUACUCCGAGAACUGAAAGGCUUUUUGAAGUCUUCGGAU
rnacentral:rRNA from 1 species